UGAAAAGGAUCAAAACUUCUAUAUCCCCCUC
rnacentral:piRNA from 1 species